UUGGGAGGGUCCUGGGGAGG
rnacentral:miRNA from 1 species